UACGUAGGGUGCGAGCGUUAAUCGGAAUUACUGGGCGUAAAGCGUGCGCAGGCGGUUUUGUAAGCCAGAUGUGAAAUCCCCGGGCUUAACCUGGGAAUGGCAUUUGGGACUGCAAGGCUGGAGUUUGGCAGAGGAGACUGGAAUUCCUGGUGUAGCAGUGAAAUGCGUAGAGAUCGGGAGGAACAUCAGUUGCGAAGGCGGCUCUCUGGACCAGCACUGACACUGAGGCACGAAAGCGUGGGGAGCAAACAGG
rnacentral:rRNA from 1 species